CCUACUCCCAUAGGCAUUGCAGGAGUGGCUGUUGUGUCACGUGUGCAUCAGUAGUAACACAGAGAGGAGAGGCUAUGUCUACACUCAGUCUCCUGACCUAUGAACAUCUCAACAAUUAGUAGCCUACUUAA